GAUGAACGCUGGCGGCGUGCCUAAGACAUGCAAGUCGAGCGAAAAGACGAGGAUCUUGCUCCUUAGUCGUUAGCGGCGUACGGGCGAGUAACACGUGGAUAACCUACCUAUAAGACUGGGACAACUGCGGGAAUCCUAAGCUAAUACCGCAUAAUUUGCUAAACCGUAUGGUUAAAUAUAGAAAUAGGCUCUGGGUGUCGCUUAUAGACUGUCCCCCGCCGCAUUAGGUAAUUGGUAAGGUAACGGAUUACCAAGGCAAGGAUGCGUAGCCGACCUGAGAGGGUGAUCGGCCACACUGGAACUGAGACCCGGUCCAGACUCCUACGGGAGGCAGCAGUAGGGAAUCGUCCGCAAUGGGCGAAAGCCUGACGGAGCAACGCCGCGUGAGUGGUGAAGGUCUUCGGAUCGUAAAACUCUGUUAUUAGGGAAGAACAAAUGUGUAAGUAACUAUGCACGUCUUGACGGUACCUAAUCAGAAAGCCACGGCUAACUACGUG
rnacentral:rRNA from 1 species